UUAUUUCUUGCGGUUCCUAAUAUCUUUUUCUUUUCUCUUCCUUUUUCAUUCAUCGUCUCCUUCCGUUUCUCCGCUUCACUCCGUAUUUCUCUCUUAGGUAAUAUUCCUAUGUUAUUCUUCUUUUCUUUCCUCUACUGUCAUAAUUUUGCUUGCUCUCUUCCCGAUGUGUCGUCGUUUUAUUAUGUCAUGGUUGUUCCGGCAAAGCAGACUGCUGACGACGCCGCUUCAUCGUCGAUUGUUGUCCCUAUUGGUCACUACCGGAAGUUUCGACGUCUUGAUGGCCUCUCUGUCCUUCCCCACUACCUCGACUGUGGUGACUGUAGCUGGGUUUGUGAGUUUUGUGGUGUGUUUUUUUGGUAUGUCGAGAGGGCUCUUAUGGAUCGAUGUCUUAUUUCAGAAUGAAAGGGUUUCAACAUCGAUUUAUGACUUCCAGGACCAAUCGAUUGGUUGUUGAUUACAAAUAUAUGUUUUCAUAUAGCAUCGAUUGCAUCGUCGGACAAUGAAGCAGAAGAAUCAACGACAGAAGAAGAGGAAAGGUAUGAAGGAUGUGAGGUUUACCAAACUACUAUUUUUGGGCUAGGACAUUCCACAUGUGUAGCCAUUGGUGGGGAUCAUUUUAAUGGGACCAACUUCAUUGACUGCAUGAGAAAAUUCAUGGUUAAUCCUCAUACACAAGAUGUGUAUAAAGUUUCUUGGUUGGCUGGCCGUUCACUUCAAGGGGUUAAUCAGAGGUUAAAAGAUCGAUGCAGGGUAUGAUUUCAAGGUUUAUGUUGUUUGUUUUUGUUGAUUGUUUUGCAUAGUUUUUUGAAGUUUUGAAUUGAGAAUUUAUUGGUUAUUUUGAUUGCAGAGUUUGUUUGACACAUAAAUCCAUUUUUAUCAUAAGGAUAAAAUGGUACAAUGAAUAGUAUUUGGUCCUAAGUUUAAAUGUAGAAAAAAGGAAUUUCUUUGAUAUUCAGUGGAUGAGCAAGAAAACUGAAAAAUGUGAGAAAGAAAUAUGAAUGAUUUUUUGAUGAAGAUAGGCUUCAAGGGCCAUGGAAAUUGCAUUAAUACAGAAAUUAAACAAAUUCAUGGAGUAUGCAUUUGGCGAAAAUGGUGCCAAUUUCAUCAACCAUUUUGUCUCUCCGAUCUGCAACAAUGUUAGAUGGGUUGCUUCGGGGCAGUCAUUUCACCUCCAAAUGGUUUACAAAUGUUACACAGCCUAAUGAGAGACAUUAUAGAUAAGAGUUCAUGAAGAUUCCAACAUUAGGAAAGCUUCUCAAGGUAAGUAUUAGAAAGUGUGAGAAAGUUAAUAUCAUACACAAAUUGUUAAAUCACCAUAUUAUCCAUGGCAAGUCUUUGAGUUUCUGGCUGAACGAAAGAUUCUUACACUGCAAAAUAUCUUAAAACCUUCUCCUAAUGGGCCAAAAGGUUUGAACAAAUUAUGAAUACACUUAUUUUUUAUAUAUUAAAAUUUAAAAUAUUUUAUAGUUUUGCUUCCUUCGAUAAUGAAACUCCUGUUGGUUUCUUUUUCAGCUCCAAGGAAUAGAUUUUGUCAUUGACAGAGCAUAGGGACAAACAUGUUGGUUUUAAAAUGUUGACUCCAAAAUAGCAAUAUAUUUUUGUAUAUGUGUGCAUUAAGUUUUUUGUUUUUUUUGGUCCAUUAGGUCCAUCAAAUUAGUUGAAAUCCCCGUGACAAGUGGAUUCGAUGAUAGUAAUUUUCAUUAUGAAGUGCACACUUGGUGAAGAAAAAAUGCACAUCGAUAUGUCGCCUGAACAUGGCAGCCUAAUCGAUAUGUACACAAAUAGCACAUGUUGUUUCUUAAUUUAUUAGUUUGCGUUGAA